rnacentral:tRNA from 1 species
AAAAUCCGUUGGUCUCACAAGACCGKGAGGGUUCAACUCCCUCUAUCCCCA